UACGGGGGGGGCAAGCGUUGUUCGGAAUUACUGGGCGUAAAGGGCUCGUAGGUGGCCAACUAAGUCGGACGUGAAAUCCCUCAGCUUAACUGGGGAACUGCGUCCGAUACUGGAUGGCUCGAGUUUGGGAGAGGGAUGCGGAAUUCCAGGUGUAGCGGUGAAAUGCGUAGAUAUCUGGAGGAACACCGGUGGCGAAGGCGGCUCUCUGGAACGGUACUGACGCUGAGACGCAAAAGCGUGGGGAGCGAACAGG
rnacentral:rRNA from 1 species